AUCUACAUUGAUAGCAUAUUGUUAUAGCACGUUUUACUGAACUGCUAUCGUAGAUGACUUAAAAAAAUUCGUAUUAUAUAACAGCGUUGGAUAAACGCUAUAAUAGAUGAAAACUUAAAAUAACACUUAAUUAAUGCUAUUCUGAAAAUAAAGUGAGAGGGAAGAUAAAAUUCCUGAUACCGCCAAUACUUAGCGGGUAAUUAGAUGUAAGCGCCAAAAAUAUUAUUUAAGCGGUUUAAGUAAUACUAUCAAAAACAUAUAAUAACAUUUUUAUAAUGCUAAGAAAAUCUACUAAUGCUAUGAAAAGCUAUUCGAACCCCUAAAUCACAAACAUGGUUUUCAAGCCUAAACUCUAUAUACAACCCUUAAGACUCUAAUUUUUUUCAUAUUUUAACUUCAAAUUUUAAAAUUAAACUCAAAAUUUCAUGUUCUUAAUCUUAAACUAUAAUUUACUAAAUACAUAUCUUUUAUCUUGAAUGAAACCCUACAUCCUAAAUCAUAAUUUCAAACAUAAACUACACAUUCAAUACUCUAAGUAUAAAAUUCAAAUCUAAAUUAUUAAAAAUUUAACUACAAAUCUUAUAUAUAUUCUUCAAACCUAUUAUUUUCCAACUUUAAUCUAGAAUACUAAACUUUAACCCUAAACCUCAUAUUCCAACAUCCAAACCUUAAAACACAAAACCAAACUUUACUCUUAAUCAUAAUUUCUUUUAAACCAUAAAAUCUAAAUUUUAAAAUUUUCGGCAUUAGAAUCAAACAUACAAAUUUAUAAAUGAAAUACAAAUCAGAUUGAAUUAUAAAUCAGAUUUCAGUAUAUAAAUACAAACUUUUAAAAUGAUGACCAAAAUCUUAAUCUUGAUAUCAAUCUAAUAUUUUCAAAUUUAAACAUCAAUUCUUAAAAUAAAUCAAUUUCUUAUGUUCAAAAAGUAAAACUUUAAGUUUAAAUUAUAAACUACAAAAUAUAAAUUGUUAUAUAAGAUAUAAGUUUUGAUCAAAAAAAUAAAUGUAAGAUAUAACUAAGAAAAAUUACUUACAAAACAAAUUAUCAAAUACUAAAGAACAAAACAAAAAGAAAAAUAGAAAAAGAAAGACAAAAUUUUCUGACCAAUAAGAUUCAGAUACAUGGAUCACACUUCUUAGCCAUUGGAUUAACUUACAUCUAAAGGUUGAGAUUUAUGCUUUUUAUUUUUUGAUUUUUUAUUUUUUCCUCUCUUUCUCUCUCCACGGCAGAUCUCAUUCUCUUCUCUAUCUUUUUUUCUAUUCACUCUUCAUCUUCUCCUUCUUCUCCUUCACUCUCUAAUCUCAUAUCUCUCACCUCUCACCUCUCCCAUCUCUGUCCCACCACGUCUCCUCCUCGCCUCACCACCACUGCGUCUCAUCCUCUGCUCAUCACCACCGCGGUCGCCUUCCCACCCCCACCACGAGAUACUCCCCCGGUCUGUGGUCGUGAGCGGAGUCUCCGGAAGUGGUCGUGAGCGGAGUCUCCGGAGUCACCGGUGAGGAUCAGAAGAAUAAGAAUCGGUGCUUCUUUUGUUCUUAGUAGAUACAGGUGGUGAAGGAAGAUGAAGAAGAUUCAGGUGGUGAAGGAAGAUGAAGAAGCUUAAUGGACGUGAUUGAAGACGGCUGGAGUUUUCUUUUUCUUUUUAGGUUUAGUAUUUUUUUUUGUUUAGGGUUUUCCGGUUUAGUUUAAACCGAAUUGGAUAAACCGUUGUGGUUUACUUUAUUUUUAUUUUUUCUGGUUUAGUUUUGUAAACCGAAAUUUAUUUAUCAAUAAAUUUUAUUUUAUUUUUAA